rnacentral:rRNA from 1 species
UCUACGGAAGGCAGCAGGCGCGCAAAUUACCCACUCCUAGAUCGGGGAGGUAGUGACGAAAAAUAACAAUACCGGACUCAAUGAGGCUCGGUAAUUGAAAUGAGUACAGUUUAAAACCCUUAACGAGGAUCUAUUGGAGGGCAAGUCUGGUGCCAGCAGCCGCGGUAAUUCCAGCUCCAAUAGCGUAUAUUAAAGUUGUUGCAGUUAAAAAGCUCGUAGUUGGAUCUCGGGUACUAGCAUGUGGUACGCUUAAUUGCUGUUACUACAUGUCUGGUUCUAAUCAACCGGUUGGCCGUUGAUGCCCUUUAUUGGGUGUUUUCGGUAGCCGGUACGUUUACUUUGAGAAAAUUAGAGUGCUUAAAGCAGGCCAUACGCCUGAAUAAUGUUGCAUGGAAUAAUAGAAUAGGACCUCGGUUCUAUUUUGUUGGUUUUGUAGAGCAUUGAGGUAAUGAUUAAUAGGGACAGACGGGGGCAUUCGUAUUGCGGUGUUAGAGGUGAAAUUCUUGGAUCGCCGCAAGACGAACAACUGCGAAAGCAUUUGCCAUGAAUGUUUUCAUUAAUCAAGAACGAAAGUUGGAGGUUCGAAGACGAUUAGAUACCGUCCUAGUUCCAACCAUAAACGAUGCCAACUAGCGAUUAGCUGCUGUUAAUUAAACGACACAGCUAGCAGCUUCCGGGAAACCAAAGUUUUUGGGUUCCGGGGGAAGUAUGGUUGCAAAGCUGAAACUUAAAGGAAUUGACGGAAGGGCACCACCAGGAGUGGAGCCUGCGGCUUAAUUUGACCCAACACGGGAAAUCUCACCCGGCCCGGACACUGUAAGGAUUGACAGAUUGAGAGCUCUUUCUUGAUUCGGUGGGUGGUGGUGCAUGGCCGUUCUUAGUUGGUGGAGCGAUUUGUCUGGUUAAUUCCGAUAACGAACGAGACUCUAGCCUGCUAAAUAGUACGCCGAUCAUUAGUCGGCGCGUACUUCUUAGAGGGACAAGUAGCGGUAAGCUACACGAAAUUGAGCAAUAACAGGUCUGUGAUGCCCUUAGAUGUUCGGGGCCGCACGCGCGCUACACUGAAGGGAUAAGCGUGUUUUUCCUGCUCCGAAAGGAGUGGGUAACCCGCUGAAACCCCUUCGUGAUUGGGAUCGGGGCUUGAAAUUAUUCUCCGUGAACGAGGAAUUCCCAGUAAGCGCGAGUCAUAAGCUCGCGUUGAUUACGUCCCUGCCCUUUGUACACACCGCCCGUCGCUACUACC